rnacentral:rRNA from 1 species
UACGUAGGGUGCAAGCGUUGUCCGGAAUUAUUGGGCGUAAAGAGCUCGUAGGCGGUCUGUCACGUCGGCUGUGAAAACCCGAGGCUCAACCUCGGGCCUGCAGUCGAUACGGGGCAAACUAGAGUACUGCAGGGGAGACUGGAAUUCCUGGUGUAGCGGUGAAAUGCGCAGAUAUCAGGAGGAACACCGGUGGCGAAGGCGGGGUCUCUGGGCAGUAACUGACG